AGACCAUGAUGAAGGCAAUGCCUAAGCAAAUCCUUGUAUCUCUCUCAAGCUUCAUACAACAAUUUCGCAUCUAGCUGCAUCAAUGAUGUGAUAUCAUUCCUAAUCUU
rnacentral:snoRNA from 1 species